CGAAGAGUGCUUUUGUAUUGGUCGUGGUUGACCUUCCACCCACCUCUAACCCAGAGGAUGAAUGAUAGAUCUGCCCUGAAGCCAAUCAGAAGUCCUUAGGGUGAGGCCCACAAAUGCCCCAGAAAUAGCAUAUACAUUGCGCCCUAAGUCCAGUCUCGCCCAGGUGUGGCAGGAGCUUUUACCUGCUCUUCGGCAGUAGCCGGCUGCCACUCAACCCCGUGCCUGGGUUGUCCUCAUCUAAUCCGUCAGUACCAGACAGUGAACAUCUCUCCCCCAGGAUGCUGAGGGAGGGUGCUGGAGGGAAGGAUGUGGAACUACAGCCUCUGCUCUCAAGAAGCUCAGAUCUGGGCAGGGAACAUCACAUACCAGGGCUGUCGGGGGGUGGAGGGCUGGGGGAGGGAUAGCAUUAGGGGAAAUACCUAAUGUAAAUGACAAGUUGAUGGGUGCAGCAAACCAACA
rnacentral:lncRNA from 1 species